rnacentral:rRNA from 1 species
UACGUAGGGAGCAAGCGUUGUCCGGAAUCAUUGGGCGUAAAGCGCGCGUAGGUGGCCUCAUAAGUCCGCUGUGAAAGUCAAAGGCUCAACCUUUGAAAGCCGGUGGAUACUGUGAGGCUAGAGUACGGAAGAGGAGAGUGGAAUUCCUGGUGUAGCGGUGAAAUGCGCAGAUAUCAGGAAGAACACCCGUGGCGAAGGCGGCUCUCUGGGACGGUACUGACGCUGAGACGCGAAAGCGUGGGGAGCGAACAGG